GGAUUGCAAACUUUUGUCUUCCUCAUCUCCUUACAAUAUGCUACUGCUUUCAGUAUGUGGCCAAUCGGAUGCCAGAAGACAAGAACACCCUCACUUCUGCCUCACCUGAGCUCUGCAUUCCCCCCAAAAACUGAAGCCCUUGGCAGCCCAGAGACUGACACCAAGCUCUAUAUCAUGCGCACUCACCUUGAUGUGCACUGUCCUUAAUACACACUGAAAUAGACAUACAUGCUCUUAACUCAUCCAUUAAAGCAGAGAAAAAGGUUUAGAAAAGUUUUCUUUUUUUUUUCCUUAAUCAUUUCUGACCUAAAAAGCAAGACUGUGGUUUAAUUGUCAAUUUAAGACUUAUUAACAAAAGUCCAAACAUCUUGGACCAUUAUUUACAACUCUAUCCCCUUACUUAAAGUCAUCUGAUGUAAAUCAACCCUACAGUCCUCCAGCACUUUUCUUUGUGCAUGUGAUCAUGUGGGUAUCAUCCUGGUCUGAGGGGAAAGAGUUUCAUUUGACAACAAAUAUGAUUUACUUCAAAAACCUCCAGUGUCUUCUCUGGUCCUCUUCUUUGCUUCAUUUUGUCUUUCAUUUCUAUCUGCCCACCUCACACACAGCCUUUUCUGCAGCUGUCAAUAAAGAUGUUGCACCUGUUAUACAGUCCGAAUUUGACCUGAAACCAACAAAGACACACACACACAAACACACACACACACACACACACACACACACACACACACACACACACACACACGUUGGGACUGGCGGGUCCAUUAGCACAUCCAAAGCUCCUCCAUGUCACCGUGCCGUGUUACCGCUAACAGCCAUGACAGGAUAUCUUCACAUGCUUUUAUCAUCUGUGUUUGUGCAGGUGUGCAGAUAUUGCACAAACAAUAUGUCAGUGCAUAUGUGUCCAUAUACAAUUUGUGUGUGUGUGAAAGUGUACGUAAGUGUUUUUGUGUGUGUGUGUUUUGCGCUCAUGAAAGGCUGGUAAUUUCACGCGUGGUCAGACGGUUGCAUUUCAGCUUUAGCCUGGAGUGUAGCAGGAACUCCUUAACUGUUCAAUGACUUUAGCUUGAGGCAAGGUCCGCCUACACACACACUCAAGCACACACACCUAUGAAAUUACACCCAUCUACUUGUUCUGCUCCCAUCCCCACACACACUCUUACACACACUCACACAGAGGCGUUUGUUGCUGUAAGGUGUAUGUAGUUGCUUUACGCCGGAAGGGAAGAUCACUGCUUUGUCUGUUUGAUAAAGCUACAACGUCCAUCUCCUUCAAAGAGCGCCGUGCUGAUCUGAUGUGAGGCGAGUGUGUUGAUGGAUUUGACGAUUACGCCGCCCUGGGCGCUGAGCAAGAAACAGUGAUGGUGCCACGCUUUUCAAACAAGAGGAGGAAAGGAACAUGAAGAAGAUGAUUAAAGAAGUUAAAAAGAGGCUAAUGUGUUAUCAAGAGAUCUUCAGAUGAGGCUGAAAUACGUUUUAUGAAGCUGUGGCAGUAAAUCGUUCUGGUUUCACAAUAAAAGUGACAGCAAUGAAGAAGGAAAACUUUAUGUUUUCUUGCAAAACUUUUAUUUACAAAAGUGCAAUAUUCCUGUGAUGAUUACAAUGAGGUGAAACAUUAAAAAGUGUCACUGAACCUAUUAAGAGUCAAUGCUGAUUCAAAAUUACAGAUUACCUCAUUAUCUUCUGCUCUCAAUCAGUCAUGAGAAAAGUUCCCCCUUUCAUUCAGAAAAACUAAACUGGAUCAUGUUAGUUAUUGUCUUGUUUAAAAAAUGCAAACCUGAAAAUUUCUUGACAUUUCCCUUAAGUUCCUGCAAAAAAGUCUUGGACAGUAAUUUGGUAAUUAAGUAUUUUGUGGUAUUAGAAGCUUCUGUUAGGAAUUUUCUGACAUUCAUGAAACAGAUUGAAAUUCAUCUUGGUGCCUUUUUAUGAAUUACGAUAGCAAACAAGACAAUCUAGGACAAAUUUUAGACUGUAUAAAGCGUGAUAUUGGGGUGAGGGGGUCGGUGUUAGUGGAGCCACUGAAGAAAGAUUUUUAACAUUAAGUAUUAACAAUAAAUGAUACUUUACUAACAACAAUCAGCAGGAAGAGUUUUUUUUAGUUAGUCCUUGAGGACAAUAGACUACUUUGUCAAAAAGGGGUGCAAAACUAACACAAGCUAGAAGUACCUCUCAGGAGCUUUAAAAACAACUGAAGUUUCUGUUUUAUUACAGCCAAAAAGCUGCUUUCAUGUAUAAAACAAAUCCCUAAAUAAAAAGAAAAAAUGUAAUGUCUCACAUAAAGAAGAUCAGUCCUGAGGAGAAGCAUUUCCAGUUUUGACCAAAUAAUAGUGCAGAGCCAGCAAAUCGCGAGAAAGCUGUGAACAAAAUUUGUCCUAAUUGUGCCCACUAAAAAUUUAAGGGCACAUCUUAGAAUAAUCCUCUGACCACUGUGAGGAUGUCACAGAGGACCACUGAAUGUCAGGACAAAAUUAAGAGCAAUGUACAAGUCUUUACCCACAGGAUUAAGAACCAUGUGAGCAGCUGAGCCCUGAGGAUGCUGUCUCAGCACACUCUGGAACGGCCAAACUAGAGCACGGUUUUCUGUGCCAAGCAUGGUGACAUAAAGCUGUGUCAAGAGUGAUCAAGCUGUUUAUGUACAAACAAUAUGUUACAAUAACAUUGGAUCUCAAUAGCUGGAGACAAUGAAGGAGGUUAUUAAAUGUAAUAAUAUAACCUUGAAGACAAAAAACAAAAACAAAAAAAAAAACAGCAUUUUCUCAGCAGGUUUCUCACGCCACUAUGGAAAAUCUGUAUUGACAUUAAAAGUCUGAGAUGCUGCUGAGAAAAUGAUUGAGCUGUUUCUCAGAGUGUACGAUUGGGUUGUUAAUUCUUUGCUGUAGGCGAGUUUGUUUGUGCAACACUUUUCAGCAGCAGUGACAGAGAGAGUGCUCUGUGUGAGAUCCUGAAUUCAUUUAGACUCAUUAAAUAAACAGAAGAAAGUCAAACCUAAAUGUGACUUUAAAUUAGAUACGUUAAAGAGAGAGCCAUGUGCAAAUUGUACCCAGAAUUCUCUGUGUUUCAGUUGUGACCCCCCAGCUCUGAACCUGUACCGCUCUUCCUCUCAGCUUAAUCACAUUCACCUGCC